AGUUCUCAAGGACUAGCCUUCUGAUCUUGUAAGACCUAAAGCCCUCUUUACCAGCUAACUAAUCCCCCCUAAACACUAUCUACCUACCCUGUCACUAAGGAAUCUUAUCUCUUAAAAUAUAUAUAUAAUCUUGCCUCUGCACAGAGUAACCUGGUAAACCCAAAGAUGUCAGGGCCUACCAACUGGCUUGGCAGUGAGGUGACACCUCAAAAUGCCAGCACACCAAAAUCUGGAUCCUCUUACUCCUUCUUCCUUGAAGUAUUCCCCUUCAUGGUUGAUGAUAUCAGUAGUAAGGAACCAGAAAACCAUUGAAGGUAGUCAGGAACCCUUCCAGACCAGAGAUGACCCAGGAAAGAUUCUCAAAGUCCUCAAAACUAGCUCAAGGACUUUGCUGUCACUAAGAGGUCUUUCCUAGCAAUCAGUGAUGUUCUCUCCGAAGAAUUGACAGUGAGAACAAAACUAGGUUCAAAUCUAUUCAGCUCAGAGAAACCUCUGAGCAAAUCCAAAAGCAGUCUAGACUAGGUCAGUAACCAAAUCCAACUUUCUUCCAGCUCCCUGAGUGUUCUCAACUGCCAGCAUAAGAAUUUCAUCUAAAUGCCCCAUGUUCCAAACUCCUGGUCAUGCCAUGUCACUCAUGCAUGAAGCCUUAAAGGCACCUGCUCCAGUCCUGGCCUCCUGUCUUCUGAAACUGAUCCAUCUGCCUUUGAAUUUAAUGGGAGCUCUGCCCUUAGCUCAGCAUCACAGAGCUGGGAGCAAACCUGAUAAUGAGCCCUGGGUGGUUAGUCCAUUUGCCUCUGUUGUGCUGCCUUCCAAAGCUAACUGUAGCCAAAGUACUUUAUUUGCUGAUACACAUACUCAUGGAAAGCUUUAUCUAAAUGUGCAUCAUAAUCUGGGCAACAGAAAUGCUUCAUUCCCUUGAUAAAGAAACUGAGAACUAGUCAAGUUGAAUGACUUAUUUAAAGUC
rnacentral:lncRNA from 1 species